UACGUAGGGGGCAAGCGUUGUCCGGAAUCAUUGGGCGUAAAGCGCGUGUAGGCGGCUCGAUAAGUCUGCUGUGAAAGUCCAGGGCUCAACCCUGGGAUGCCGGUGGAUACUGUCGAGCUCGAGUCCGGAAGAGGCGAGUGGAAUUCCUGGUGUAGCGGUGAAAUGCGCAGAUAUCAGGAGGAACACCAAUGGCGAAGGCAGCUCGCUGGGACGUGACUGACGCUGGGACGCGAAAGCGUGGGGAGCAAACAGG
rnacentral:rRNA from 1 species